AUUGAACGCUGGCGGCAGGCUUAACACAUGCAAGUCGAACGAGUGGCGGACGGGUGAGUAAUGUCUGGGAAACUGCCCGAUGGAGGGGGAUAACUACUGGAAACGGUAGCUAAUACCGCAUACCAUCGGAUGUGCCCAGAUGGGAUUAGCUAGUAGGUGGGGUAAAGGCUCACCUAGGCGACGAUCCCUAGCUGGUCUGAGAGGAUGACCAUCCACACUGGAACUGAGACACGGCCCAGACUCCUACGGGAGGCAGCAGUGGGGAAUAUUGCACAAUGGGGGCAAGCCUGAUGCAGCCAGCCCGCGGGUAUGAUGAAGGCCUUCGGGUUGUAAAGUACUUUCAGCGAGGAGGCGGUACUCGCAGAAUAAGCACCGGCUAACUCCGUGCCAGCAGCCGCGGUAAUAC
rnacentral:rRNA from 1 species